ACAAAGCAUCCGUGGGAUGCGCUGGAACAAACCUGAUCCAUGGAGACCCCACCCCAAAGCAUCGACUGCCAACAUCCUAUUCCCUUGGCAACCCAAGGGAAAAGGCACCCACACAAGCCCUGUUUCCAUGCUGCAAAAUGUCAGAGCUGUUUUGGCAGCAGGAAAUGGACUGACACAGUCUUGGGCGCUUUGUACAUGGUGUACAUUCCACAGGAUUCAUUUCAUUUAAAGCUUGGCACUCGCUCUUCUGCUUAGCCUCGCACCUCUAUCCUGGGGGACAAACGUAGGGAGUCAAGAGUCGACACCAGGAAAGGGGAGUCGUCUGCAGAGAGACGGGAAGACGCAGUGAUGUGACUCUGUGCCAAAUGUUUACAGGCGAGCUGACAUAGUUAGAAGAUGGAGAGGGCUGAAAUGAGCCUGUCUCUCUCUGCACUCUUAGAGGAGCGAGAGAUAGGAAAUCUAGGUCAUCGCCACUGAUGCAUUGCAAAGCGAACUUCAAACAAACCUGGCCUUUAGCGCGAUGGCUCUCCAAAGCUGUGCUACAUGCCAUCAGAGACUGAUCACCAUUUUCUGCCAAGAGCUGCCAAGACAUGAUAAUAUGUAAAAUAAACACAAUCUUUAUCUG
ensembl:lncRNA